UACUAAGACCAUAACUUUAGUUUUAGAACAGUUUGAGUUCAAUAAAUAUUUGAAUAUAUAAAUAGAAUAAAUAUGAAUAAAUAGCAAGAAGCUGAGUUUACAUGAUUAUAUGUAUUUCUUUUUUGGUCUGCUUGAAAGUGCAGGUAUUCUAAAAUACUUUUAUUGUGGUAUAGUCAUCUCCUAGGUGACGGGUUUGUUUUUCACUCUCGAGACUCCACUUGAAUGAAAUUGAUUAGACGUUACUGAUAAUCCUCUUAAGAAAAUGAAUACUAACUUUAUCUAACUCUAAUCUAACUUUUUCUAAAUCUAUUGAAUCAUCUUACCUUUCCUUAUAUCUAUUUUUCUACGGAUUGUUGAAGACCUGUGUUGUUUGAACCUCGAACUCCUGUGUUGUUUGAACCUCGAACUCCGAUUGGUUUUUUAUGUACACUGGAACACUGGAUGGCGAGUCAGUCCCCUUGGAUCGAUUGAUUUGUUCUACCCUUUCAUACUGGAUAACCAACCCCUUGAACUGCCCUUUCAUACUGGAUAACCAACUGGAUAACCAACCCCUUGAACUGCCCUUUCAUACUGGAUAACCAACCCCUUGGAUCUGUUCCCUGGAUA